CGCCGCGCGCAGCGCUGAGGGGGCCCUGGGGCCGCGCGCUCGCGCUGUUCCCUCAGCAGCCCGCGGUGCCGCCCCGCGCCGCUGUGAAACCACGCCCCCAGCGACACAGCGCGGUAAGCAGCAGCCCGACAGCGGGGAGUCCCGGGAUCGCGGCUGUCCGGUACUCGUGGGAGCCUGCAGCAGCGUACCUGGGGAGAAGAGAAGGGGGCCGAAGCACCAGGUUAUUUUCAUGAACACAAAAAACAACAUUGCUACAACUAAAGGAAAAUCCUAGAGAGAGAACCAGCUGCCUGCAGUGCACUCUCAGCGCGCAACAAAACAAGAGCCUGCAGGGCUUGGGUGAAAGGUAGCGAUACAUCCAUACAGCAAACAGCCAGACCCUGAGCCACUAUUUCUGCAUCUUGGGAGCCCUAACCACUGGGUGAGGAUCGCAACUACAACACAGAACAGCAGUCCAGAGACCCACAUAGCAAAAAAUUAUGAUGCCAGAGAAAAAAAAUCAAGGGCAAUGUAAAAUACAACGCUUUAUUAAAAACCAGUGUUCCAUUUACCUCACUGAUAACAGAGAAAACACCUUAU
rnacentral:lncRNA from 1 species